AGAAUCAACGCUGGCGGCGUGCCUCAGACAUGCAAGUCGAACGCGAAAGUCCCCCUUCGGGGGAUGAGUAGAGUGGCGCACGGGUGAGUAACACGUAGGUAAUCUACCUUCGGGUGGGGAAUAACCCAGGGAAACUUGGGCUAACACCGCAUAAUGCAGCGGCACCACAUGGUGACAGUUGUUAAAGCGGGGGAUUUUAGGACCUCGCGCCUGAAGAGGAGCCUGCGGCAGAUUAGCUAGUUGGUAAGGUAACGGCUUACCAAGGCGACGAUCUGUAACCGGCCUGAGAGGGCGGUCGGUCACGACGUGACUACUGACAUACGGGUCAGACUCCUACGGGAGGCAGCAGUCGGGAAUUUGGGCAAUGAGCGAAAGCCUGACCAGCAACGCCGCGUGAAGACUAGAAAUCCCGUACGGAGUGUAAAACCUCGUACAAGUAGUUAGG
rnacentral:rRNA from 1 species